rnacentral:rRNA from 1 species
GUGCCAGCCGCCGCGGUAAUACAGAGGUGUCAAGCGUUGCUCGGUAUCACUGGGCUUAAAGGGCGCGUAGGCUGUGCGGUACGGUUCGGGUGAAAUCCCUCGGCUCAACCGAGGAACUGCCCGGGCGACGGCCGCGCUGGACUGCAUUAGGGGACGAUGGAACUCCCGGUGGAGCGGUGAAAUGCGUAGAUAUCGGGAGGAACGCCGGUGGCGAAAGCGAUCGUCUGGAGUGCAUGUGACGCUGAGGCGCGAAAGCUAGGGGAGCAAACGGGAUUAGAUACCCGCGUAGUCC